rnacentral:rRNA from 1 species
AAACAGUACGUGAAACCGCAUGCAGGUAAACGGGUGGCGUCAAGCUGCAAGCCCGGAGGAUUCAGCUGGCUAGGAUGUUGUGUAUGCGCCUGGCGCAUCUAUCAGCCGGAGUAAGAUGUGAUAGUCCACUGGUAAACGGUGGGCCCGGCCGCAAGGUUGGGAUAUGUGUACCGGGCGGAAGCCGGAGCAUGCUAUUCGUCUGUUGGGCUGUCUAGUCAGUGCACUUUCUCUGUGGUGAACACCACGACCGGUGGAAUUGCCAGUCUGCUGUAGUCAAGUCGUAUUCAGUCGGUUCUUGUAGCCAACUGGGUGCGAUCACAGGCAAACUCAGUAAACGGCGUAGGGGUGUCUCGGCAUCCUUGCGUGUUAUCGGCUGCUGGUUGUCAACGGGCCUGCCUGAUGAUUGUUGUAACCGUCAUUGGGUGGUCUGGUGGGCUAUGGUGGUAAGAAUAACUGUGCAAGGCAUCGGAGUUCUCGGCCUCAAAUGCAUCCUGCAUACACGUUACAAGUGGAGUGGGGUGCCAUUGCAGCCUGCCUGUUGUUGGGUCUGAUUGUCGUGUCGCCUGCGCAAAGUGGGCCCGGCAGUGGCCUGAUGCGGGAUGGGUUGUGGAUGGUGCUUCCUGUGUAGGGUGCGGUGGGUCAAAUAGUCAGG